AUCGCUUCUCGGCCUUUUGGCUAAGAUCAAAGUGUAGUAUCUGUUCUUAUCAGCUUAAUAUCUGAUACGGGUCCUAUUUGGACCCAAGAUAUUAAACUUAUUUUUGGAAUGGGGCGGUAGCUCCGCAGCGGGCGCCAUUGGCAUUCCUGUGGCGGCAGAAAUCAGUGACAUCUGCAGAGUUGACAAUGCCUU